ensembl:rRNA 5S_rRNA 5S ribosomal RNA
GCCAGCAGCCAUGUCACCCUGCAACUUACAAUUGGCAACCCACUGAAGCUAAGCAGGUGUGAGCCUGGUCAGUACCUGGAUGGGAGACCUCCUGGGAAACACUAAGGAUGCUGCUGGAA